rnacentral:rRNA from 1 species
CUGGGGAGUACGGGUGAGGUAACGGCUCACCAAGGCAUCGACGGGUAGCUGGUCUGAGAGGAUGAUCAGCCACACUGGGACUGAGACACGGCCCAGACUCCUACGGGAGGCAGCAGUAGGGAAUAUUGCACAAUGGGGGCAACCCUGACGCAGCAACGCCGCGUGAGGGAUGACGGCCUUCGAGUUGUAAACCUCUUUUAGCAGGGAGAAGCGCAAGUGACGGUACCUGCAGAAAAAGCACCGGCUAACUACGUACCAGCAGCCGCGGUAAUACGUAGGGUGCAAGCGUUGUCCGGAAUUAUUGGGCGUAAAGAGCUAAUCUCGAC